rnacentral:lncRNA from 1 species
GUAUAUAGAGCAGACCUGCAGUAUUAGUUUCUCUACAAAACAGGGUAGCUUGUACUUGAAGUGUUGCCACCAUGAGACUUAACUGCUGCCUGACGAUCCUUCACGUGUCCAUCUUAGCGGCGCUCCUUGUCCAUUUGGAAGCUUAUAGUGAAGAUUGUGAAGUUGAAAUCAGAGUGCGCCGCAACACAGUGUAUAAAGCUUCUGUUGGGGAAGAACUGAGGAUUAACUGCACAGUUGUUUUCUGCAACAACUCACCACCAACAGUCUCCUGGUUUAAACCAGGGGAAACUUAUGUCAAUGUUGGCAGUAGCAGCCUCAUCAAAACAGAGUGGAAAAAACUAGACGAUUCACGAGGGAUAUCGUAUUUGGUCUUUAAAAAGAUUCAUAUGAGCGACUCAGGUGAGUAUCAGUGUCGGAGUGGAGGCAGCAUGAGCCACAACAUCAACGUCUCUGUCUCUGGUGAAGUUUGUGAAGAUGAAAUCAGAGUGCGCCGCAACACAGUGUAUAAAGCGUCUGUUGGGGAAGAACUGAGGAUUAACUGCACAGUUGUUUUCUGCAACAACUCACCGCCAACAGUCUCCUGGUUUAAACGAGGGGAAACUGAUGUCCCUGUCAAUGUCAGCAGUGGCAGCCUCAUCGAAACAGAGUGGAAAAAACUAAACGAUUCACAAGGGAUAUCAUAUUUGGUCUUUAAAAAGAUUCUUAAGAGCGACUCAGGUGAGUAUCAGUGUCGGGGUGGAGGCAGCGCGAGCCACAACAUCAACGUCUUUGUCUCUGACCCUGGACCUGCUUUCCCCCACUAUGCGUUACGCAUUGUUGGAAUCGUGGUGUUAGUCAUCGUGGUGAUGAUCAUCUAUGUAGCAUCGAGAGCCGGGUGUAAAGUACGAGGUGUCCACUCUGCAAGAACAUCCAGGGAGGCGCCAGAUCUGAGCCCCCAUCAUAUCUAUGAAAACGAUCCCUGAUACCUUAAAAUCAAUCUGCUAAGUUAAAUGUCAAUAUUAGGGCUCUGACUAAUAUCAAAACAUUUCAUAGUGUUUCAUUUCAAGGUUUUGUAACCUGUAAUAUGUCUCAGAUUUAUUCAUGUUUUCACUUAUUUGUGUGUCGAAUGAGUGUGUCAAUGAUGCGCUGUCAUUAUGUUUGUAAGUUACAUGUUUCAUGACUUUAGAAUAAUUAAAUAUUUUAUACAAUGACGGAACAAUGUCCAUUUAUUCAUAAUCAUACGUGUGCUUGCUGUCAUGAGUCAAGGCGAAUGUGUAUUUCUUGUAAAUCAACCUGUUAUAAUACAGAAGUGAAAUUUCUUAGGUGAGAAACCACCAUUGUUCUUCCAUGGCUGCGUACGUGCGUGUGUGUGUGUGUGUGUGUGGUGUGUGUGGUGUGUGUGUGUGUGUGUCUGCAGAAAGUCACACAUUUACAUGUGAACUUUGUUUUACUUCCUGUACAGAAAACACUCUUUGUGCACACAUCCAUUGCAGAUACUUUUUUGCGUAAUGGCCUGUUGAUUUGUGUUUGUGUGUGAAUGUGCGUGUGUGUGUGUGUGUGUGUGUGUGUGUGUGUGUUUACGUUGACGCGUUCUCGACUGAAACAGCUUCUUUUCUCGGGUUCAGCUUCUUUGGUGCAUUUGGGAGCAGACAGACAGUCGCCUGAUGAACAGACAGGAAGCAGAAUUAAAC